rnacentral:misc_RNA from 1 species
AUAAGCUUUUUUUUUUUUUUAACAGUACCCAUGAUAAGCAUUUGAACUCCAAUGAUGUGCCCAAAUAUCAUGCCACAGUCUAAUUAUACCAAGUGCAGGCAAACAUAUUAAAGAUCAGAAAGUUGUGCGCACAAAGUGAGAUUACAAACUAUAGAGAUGGUAUUUAGCUAAACUGAGACGGCUCAUGUUUAGUGUCCAGUAACUGACAAGGCACUAAUUUUCCUGCUUUGGACCUUUGGUUAGGAAAAAAAAAAAAGGAAAAGAAAAGAGAGAGCGACAAACAAUUAGUUGAUUCUGAAAAAUUAUUUAGCUUCAAUGGUGUAUUACGAGAUCUUUUGCGAAGAAAUGCAAAUAAUUUUUAAUGGUUGUGCAAUUAUUAUUUUCUAGAGUUGGAAGUAUUGCUAAAGAGCAGUGGAGAUGUCUCAAGAAGUCCCGGCUAUGGUUGUGAGUUCUCAAGACUCUAUGGUUGUGAUCAUAAGCUCUCGAGUGAGUCUAGAUUUAAAUGAACCGAGAAAAGAGUUAAAAUUGAUUUGGCAAAAAUGGCUAAAGUAUAGUUUUGGGGAGAAAAUCAUAUAGAA